AUGAGAAAUUAGCUCGGAGAGUGACUUUUCAUAAAAAUAAAAUAUUUUUCAGUGAAGUAGAAAAGGGUAGUAAGUCAGUAAAAACAGAACAAUUUGAUUUUACAGUAGGCUAUUUUUUUAAAUGUAGUUAAUAUAGAAUAUGUGUCCACUGUGUCCAUUUUGCAGCUAGUUCAAGUGCAUAUUAGUCAUUGGUUAAUUGACUAGAAAUGUGCAUCAAACAUGGUCCUGGAAGCUGCCCUGUAAACAUCAGCAUGGGUUAGUUUCUUUCUCAAAAGCUUGCGAUUAUGAGAAACAAAGCAGUUGCUGUUGUCUGCAUAAGCCAUUCAUAAUGCUCCGCAGAUUCUGCGGUUGUUUUAUUAGCUGUGUUUGUUGCCUUGUCAUAGUGCCUGCAGCCCCCUACUCUGGAUAAGUAUACCAUGCAUAUUGGUCACCAGUGGAAUUGUUCUAUUAUGAUGUUUAGUUUUUUCUUUUUUUCUGAAGUAUUCUGCAUCCCAGAAGUAAAUUCUGAUGGGUUUUAC
rnacentral:lncRNA from 1 species